UGGCAGUCUGAUAGUAGUGGGUUAUCAGAACUUGUUAACAUUAAUAUCACUAAAAUUGGCAUACAACCUCCUACCGCUAAAUUUGACUGGCUUCUU
rnacentral:Y_RNA from 1 species